GUCAAGGGAGGAUUGAGACAUGUUUUCCUAAUGCUAGAAGGACUCCUAAGUGUUGUAGAACACAAAUGAGAAGUUUCUAGAGUGUUCCCCUCCUUGCCGUGAGUUUCCUACAUUUCCUAUCAGUUUUGGGGCUUUCUAGAAGCCCUAUCCCUAAUCCCUACAUUGGUGCCGCAUCCUAGCUUCUAGAAAUCUGAUUUCCUUGCCUUGCAAGGCUUUCUAGAAGCCUUAUCCACCUUAUCCCUAUCCAGCCGCACCUAGGAGGCUUUUUCCUUUGCAAAAUCUGAUUGUUUAGACCUAUUUCCUUGUGGAUUUGGGUUAUCCAAGUCCAUAUCUGAUUACCCUAGGGUUUUAAGUGCCUAUAUAUACUCCUAUUAACCCCUAAAUCAGAUCACCACUCACCACAAUUCACAAUUCACGCCAGAAAUCAUUCCUUGCUCUUUGCCGCACCCUU
rnacentral:lncRNA from 1 species